GACUUUGGCUCAAUGGCAGAGCAUAUUCUUUCCAUGCAAUAGGACCCAGGUUCAAUUCCUGGCAUGUCCA
rnacentral:tRNA from 1 species